CGGGUGAGUAACGCGUAAGUAAUCUACCCUCGCAUCUGGGAUAACCCACCGAAAGGUGUGCUAAUACCGGAUACGUCUAAGUUAAUAUCUUUUUUUUAGAGAAAGGUGGCCUCUGAUUCAAGCUACUGUGCGGGGAGGAGCUUGCGUACCAUUAGCUAGUUGGUAGGGUAACGGCCUACCAAGGCGACGAUGGUUAGCGGGUCUGAGAGGAUGAUCCGCCACACUGGAACUGAAACACGGACCAG
rnacentral:rRNA from 1 species